UACGGAGGGUGCAAACGUUGCUCGGAAUUAUUGGGCGUAAAGGGCGCGUAGGCGGCUAGAUGUGUCAAAGGUGAAAUCCCUCGGCUCAACUGAGGAACUGCCUUUGAAACUGUCUGGCUUGAGGCCGGGAGAGGGUAGCGGAAUUCCCAGUGUAGCGGUGAAAUGCGUAGAUAUUGGGAGGAACACCAGUGGCGAAGGCGGCUACCUGGACCGGUUCUGACGCUGAGGCGCGAAAGCGUGGGUAGCAAACAGG
rnacentral:rRNA from 1 species